AUUGAACGCUGGCGGCAUGCCUUACACAUGCAAGUCGAACGGUAACGCGGGGCAACCUGGCGACGAGUGGCGAACGGGUGAGUAAUGCAUCGGAACGUGCCCAGUAGUGGGGGGAUAGCCCGGCGAAAGCCGGAUUAAUACCGCAUACGACCUACGGGUGAAAGCGGGGGACUCGCAAGAGCCUCGCGCUAUUGGAGCGGCCGAUGUCAGAUUAGGUAGUUGGUGGGGUAAAAGCCUACCAAGCCGACGAUCUGUAGCUGGUCUGAGAGGACGACCAGCCACACUGGGACUGAGACACGGCCCAGACUCCUACGGGAGGCAGCAGUGGGGAAUUUUGGACAAUGGGCGCAAGCCUGAUCCAGCCAUGCCGCGUGCGGGAAGAAGGCCU
rnacentral:rRNA from 1 species